UGGGGAAUUUUGGACAAUGGGGGAAACCCUGAUCCAGCCAUCCCGCGUGUGCGAUGAAGGCCUUCGGGUUGUAAAGCACUUUUGGCAGGAAAGAAACGUCGCGGGUUAAUACCCCGCGGAACUGACGGUACCUGCAGAAUAAGCACCGGCUAACUACGUGCCAGCAGCCGCGGUAAUACGUAGGGUGCAAGCGUUAAUCGGAAUUACUGGGCGUAAAGCGUGCGCAGGCGGUUCGGAAAGAAAGAUGUGAAAUCCCAGAGCUUAACUUUGGAACUGCAUUUUUAACUACCGGGCUAGAGUGUGUCAGAGGGAGGUGGAAUUCCGCGUGUAGCAGUGAAAUGCGUAGAUAUGCGGAGGAACACCGAUGGCGAAGGCAGCCUCCUGGGAUAACACUGACGCUCAUGCACGAAAGCGUGGGGAGCAAACAGGAUUAGAUACCCUGGUAGUCCACGCCCUAAACGAUGUCAACUAGCUGUUGGGGUCUUCGGACCUUGGUAGCGCAGCUAACGCGUGAAGUUGACCGCCUGGGGAGUACGGUCGCAAGAUUAAAACUUAAAUGAAUUGACGGGGU
rnacentral:rRNA from 1 species